rnacentral:rRNA from 1 species
AACGAACGCUGGCGGCAUGCCUAACACAUGCAAGUCGAACGAGGCCUUCGGGUCUAGUGGCGCACGGGUGCGUGACGCGUGGGAACCUGCCCUUAGGUUCGGAAUAACUCCCCGAAAGGGGUGCUAAUACCGGAUAAUGUCUUCGGACCAAAGAUUUAUCGCCUUUGGAUGGGCCCGCGUUGGAUUAGCUAGUUGGUAGGGUAAAAGCCUACCAAGGCGACGAUCCAUAGCUGGUCUGAGAGGAUGAUCAGCCACACUGGGACUGAGACACGGCCCAGACUCCUACGGGAGGCAGCAGUGGGGAAUAUUGGACAAUGGGCGAAAGCCUGAUCCAGCAAUGCCGCGUGAGUGAUGAAGGCCUUAGGGUUGUAAAGCUCUUUUACCCGGGAUGAUAAUGACAGUACCGGGAGAAUAAGCUCCGGCUAACUCCGUG